GGAGGGUUGUAGCUCAGUGAUAGGGCAUCUCUUUUUCACGCAAGAGGCCCUGGGUUCAUUCCCCAGCAUCUCCA